UGGGGAAUCUUGCGCAAUGGGCGAAAGCCUGACGCAGCCAUGCCGCGUGAGUGAUGAAGGCCUUAGGGUUGUAAAACUCUUUCACCGGGGACGAUAAUGACGGUACCCGGAGAAGAAGCCCCGGCUAACUUCGUGCCAGCAGCCGCGGUAAUACGAAGGGGGCUAGCGUUGCUCGGAAUUACUGGGCGUAAAGGGCGCGUAGGCGGAUCAGCAAGUUGGGGGUGAAAGCCCGGGGCUCAACCUCGGAAUUGCCUUCAAAACUGCUGAUCUAGGGUACGGGAGAGGUGUGUGGAACUCCGAGUGUAGAGGUGAAAUUCGUAGAUAUUCGGAAGAACACCAGUGGCGAAGGCGACACACUGGCCCGUUACUGACGCUGAGGCGCGAAAGCGUGGGGAGCAAACAGGAUUAGAUACCCUGGUAGUCCACGCUGUAAACGAUGAUUGCUAGUUGUCGGCAGGCAUGCCUGUCGGUGACGCAGCUAACGCAUUAAGCAAUCCGCCUGGGGAGUACGGUCGCAAAGAUUAAAACUCAAUGAAUUGCGGGGUCAAUAGCAUGUUUCCAU
rnacentral:rRNA from 1 species